rnacentral:lncRNA from 1 species
CCUCUAGGAUAUACAUGACAUAACUAGGGUCGGGAUAAACCCCCGGCCCACACAUGACUCAUGUACAAUAACAAAACAUAAGGAACCGACUCAGAAAGCUCCGAAGCAAACUGGAGCUCACCAACAAUAGCUGUAUGACCUGACUCCUACUUGUGCGGUGUAUGAGCUGAGGUACCUGUGCCUGCAGCAUGAAAUGCAGGUCCCCCGUGAGGGACGUCAGUACGAAAUAUGUACUGAGUAUGUAAAGCUGUAAAUAAUCACAUAUGAUAUAGGAGCUCAAUAGAAAUCAGAAACAAGUGAAUAAGUCGUAAUAGGAGUGGACCACACUUACUAGAACUUGUGACAACCUGUACAUUGUAUUUAUUCAAUCACUUUACCUUCGUUCUUAUCGUCUUUGUAAUCAUUACUGUACUGUACUGUGACCAUUAGGAUGCCUCCAGUACAUAUCAACUGGGAUCGACCCAUGCUAGGCUUAUGCCCCUGGGAUACCACCCAUAAACACAUAAAUAGGGAUCGACCCAUGCUAGGCUUAUGCCCCUGGGAUACCACCCGAUAAGAAAGAACUCCCAUCACUUAGUUCAAUUAAUCUUUGAGAUUGUUAUUUCGGUCGCCACCACAUUUUUGAUACUUUGAAACAAUGAUACAUCAAUAGGAACCAAGUAAUAGACCUUCUAUACAAUAACGAUGUAAUAAAGACUCAUUGGUACAUCAACAAUGUGUUUCAGAAUCAUCAAUAUCACAACAAUGAAAUAAGAGCCUUUUGGUAUAUCAAUGAAACAUUUUGACACUUUAUAGAAUGGAAACAACUUCGUUGGUAACGUAGAACAAUACAUGUUUUUGGACAACCUCGGAAUCUUACUUGAUGGAACAUUGGUGUUUUCAUGCCAAAGAACAUUGUUAGAGUAUGCUUUACAUACCUCGUUGUAGAUUCAGAUACCAAUUCAACACAACUUCCCGCCUUUACAAAUCACUUAUCUACAAUGAAAUGUUUGGCAUCUAGUAUUAGCAACCCAACACCACAAUUCUCUUCCAUAAUUCCAUACUACCAAUAUUUGCAAAACAUUCCAAAAACCAACUUGAACAAUAGGUUUAUGUGUGUAUAUAUAUAUAAUCAUCAUUUCAAUACCACAUCAUCAAUACCACAUCAUCACCCCAAAUUCCUUCACAAUUUAACAUAAUCCAACCAUGCACAAGAAUAAUCCAACAUCAUUUCCAAUCAUCUUUCAACAACAAUCAAAUAACAUACUUCUUAUGCUCACAUGCAUAUAUAUAUAUACAUAUCCAUAUAAAUAACACCAACAUAAUUUACAUCCUUACCAAAAAAAUGGCCCUUUUGAUUUCGAAGUCCUGUUGGCACAAAUAAG